AGCAUGUGUUUAAUUCGAUGAUACGCGAGGAACCUUACCUGGGCUCAAAUGUAUGUUGACGUAUUCUGAAAGGGAUACUUCUUCGGACAAUAUACAAGGUGCUGCAUGGUUGUCGUCAGCUCGUGCCGUGAGGUGUCGGGUUAAGUCCCAUAACGAGCGCAACCCCUAUCAUUAGUUGCCAUCAGGUCAAGCUGGGGACUCUAAUGAAACUGCCUACGCAAGUAGUGAGGAAGGUGGGGAUGACGUCAAAUCAGCACGGCCCUUACGUCCAGGGCUACACACGUGCUACAAUGGCCGGUACAAAGGGCAGCUACCUGGUGACAGGAUGCUAAUCUCAAAAGCCGGUCUCAGUUCGGAUCGGAGUCUGCAACCCGACUCCGUGAAGCUGGAAUCGCUAGUAAUCGUGGAUCAGCAUGCCACGGUGAAUACGUUCCCGGGCCUU
rnacentral:rRNA from 1 species